AUACCCUACGGGGCGCAGCAGUGGGGAAUAUUGGGCAAUGGGCGCAAGCCUGACCCAGCAACGCCGCGUGAAGGAAGAAGGCUUUCGGGUUGUAAACUCCUUUUAAGAGGGAAGAGUAGAAGACGGUACCUCUUGAAUAAGCCACGGCUAACUACGUGCCAGCAGCCGCGGUAAUACGUAGGUGGCAAGCGUUGUCCGGAUUUACUGGGUGUAAAGGGCGUGUAGCCGGGCCGGCAAGUCAGAUGUGAAAUCCCAGGGCUCAACCCUGGAACUGCGUUUGAAACUGUUCUUCUUGAGUGAUGGAG
rnacentral:rRNA from 1 species